UAACCAUGUGCAUAUGUGUAACAUGCGACUGCUGCAAAGCUAAAUGUAAUUGCAAGGCCGGAGAUGCCGAUUGCACUGACUUAUUCUUAGCCUUGGCCAUGCCUCCUAUUGGAGUUUUGAGAAAACGAGGACCUAAGAGGCAAUUCUGGGUGAGUGUUUGCCUGACAAUGGCACUGUUUGUUCCAGGAAGCGUCUACGCUGUUACCGUAGUCAUAUCCAAGGAGAAUAGA